rnacentral:rRNA from 1 species
GAUGAACGCUAGCGGCAGGCUUAAUACAUGCAAGUCGAGGGGCAGCACAGAUAGCAAUAUUGGGUGGCGACCGGCAAACGGGUGCGGAACACGUACACAACCUUCCUUUUAGUGUGGGAUAGCCCAGAGAAAUUUGGAUUAAUACCACAUAGUAUAUUGGAGUGGCAUCACUUUGAUAUUAAAUAUUUAUCUCUAAAAUAUGGGUGUGCGUAUGAUUAGGUAGUUGGUAGAGGUAACGGCUCACCAAGCCUUCGGUCAUUAACUGGUGUGAGAGCACGACCAGUCACACGGGCACUGAGACACGGGCCCGACUCCUACGGGAGGCAGCAGUAAGGAAUAUUGGUCAAUGGACGGAAGUCUGAACCAGCCAUGCCGCGUGAAGGAUGACGGCCCUCUGGGUUGUAAACUUCUUUUAUGUGGGACGAAAAAGGGCCAUUUUUGGUCAACUGACGGUACCAUAGGAAUAAGCACCGGCUAACUCCGUGCCAGCAGCCGCCGUAA